GACGAACGCUGGCGGCGUGCUUAACACAUGCAAGUCGAACGGGAUUUAGUAGACAGCUGCCUCGGCUAAAGAUUACUAAUGAGAGUGGCGAACGGGUGAGUAACGCGUGAGCAACCUGCCUAUGACAGGGGGAUAGCCUCGGGAAACCGGGAUUAAUACCGCAUAAAAUCGUAGAAACACAUGUUUCAACGGUCACAGAUUUAUCGGUCAUAGAUGGGCUCGCGUCUGAUUAGCUAGUUGGUGAGAUAACAGCCCAACAAGGCGACGAUCAGUAGCCGGUCUGAGAGGAUGAACGGCCACAUUGGAGCGGAGACACGGUCCAAACUCCUACGGGAGGGAGCAGAGGGGAAUAUUGCAAAAUGGGGGAAACCCUGAUGCAGCGACGCCGCGUGAACGCAGAAGGUAUUCGUAUCGUAAAGUUCGUUCCUAUGGGAAGAUAAUGACAGUACCAUAGAAGAAAGCUCCGGCUAAAUACGUG
rnacentral:rRNA from 1 species